rnacentral:rRNA from 1 species
UACGGAGGGUGCAAGCGUUGUCCGGAUUUAUUGGGUUUAAAGGGUGCGUAGGCGGCUCCUUAAGUCAGCGGUGAAAGCCCGGGGCUCAACCCCGGAACCGCCGUUGAUACUGGGGGGCUUGAGUAUGGACGAGGUUGGCGGAAUUGAGGGUGUAGCGGUGAAAUGCUUAGAUACCACCAAGAACCCCGAUUGCGUAGGCAGCUCGCUAGGCCGAAACUGACGCUGAGGCACGAAAGCGUGGGGAGCGAACAGG